rnacentral:rRNA from 1 species
AACGAACGCUGGCGGCAUGCCUAACACAUGCAAGUCGAACGGGGCAGCAAUGCCUAGUGGCGGACGGGUGAGGAAUACGUAGGAAUCUGCCCUUAAGAGGGGGAUAACCAGGGGAAACCCUGACUAAUACCGCAUGAUCUCUUCGGAGCAAAGCGGGGGACCGCAAGGCCUCUCGCUUCGGGAUGAGCCUACGUCUUAUUAGCUAGUUGGUAGGGUAAAGGCCUACCAAGGCAACGAUCAGUAACUGGUAUGAGAGGAUGAUCAGUUACACCGGAACUGGGACCCGGUCCGGACUCCUACGGGAGGCAGCAGUGGGGAAGAUUGGACAAUGGGCGCAAGCCUGAUCCAGCAAUGCCGCGUGUGUGAAGAAGGCCUUCGGGUUGUAAAGCACUUUAGCCUGGAAAGAAAAAACUUUGGUUAACACCCAAAGUCUUGACGGUACCAGGAGAAUAAGCACCGGCUAACUCUGUGCCAGCCGCCGCCGUAAAAC